AAAUUCUGUAGUGCUGUACAAUGGGUGGACUAACAGACACAUAAUUGAGAUCAGACCACUGGACGUACAGGAACAGAGGGGGUUGAGGGCCCUGCUCGAUGAACUUACAUGCUAGAGGGAGUGGGGUAUAGUGACAGUAACAGAGGGAUUGAGGGCCCUGCUCAGUGAGGUUACAUGUUAGAGGGAGUGGGGUAUAGUGACACAGUAACAGAGGGAUUGGGGCCCUGCUCGGUGAGGUUACAUGUUAGAGGGAGUGGGGUAUAGUGACACAGUAACAGAGGGAUUGAGGGCCCUGCUCAGUGAGUUUACAUGUUAGAGGGAGUGGGGUAAUGUGACAGUAACAGAUGGAUUGAGGGCCCUGCUCAAUGAGUUUACAUGUUAGAGGGAGUGGGGUAUAGUGACACAGUAACAGAGGGAUUGAGGGCCUGCUCAGUGAGGUUACAUGUUAGAGGGAGUGGGGUAUAGUGACACAGUAACAGAGGGAUUGAGGGCCCUGCUCAGUGAUUUACAUGUUAGAGGGAGUGGGGUAAGUGACAGUAACAGAUGGAUUGAGGGCCCUGCUCAAUGAGUUUACAUGUUAGAGGGAGUGGGGUAUAGUGACACAGUAACAGAGGGAUUGAGGGCCCUGCUCAGUG